AUAUUAUUAAGUGGAGGAAAAGAAACCAAAAGGGAUUCCCCCAGUAGCGGCGAGCGAAAAGGGACCGGCCCAAAGCCGAAUCCCGGGCCCUCUGGGCGUCGGGAAAUGUGGCGUAUGGGAGGCGGCUUAUUCCGCGCGUCGAAGGCGGCUCAAGUCCUCAUUGAACGAGGCAAAGACCGGAGCGGGUGCUAGUCCCGUACAGUCGCCUUCUUCGCGUUGAGCUACCGCCUUCCCGGGAGUCGGGUUGCUUGAAAGUGCAGCCCAAAGUGGGUGGUAUGCUCCACCUAAGGCUAAAUAUCCCCGAGAGACCGAUAGCAAAAAAGUACCGUGAGGGAAAGUUGAAAAGAACUUUGAAGAGAGAGUUCAACAGUACGUGAAACCGCUUAGAGGUAAACGGGUGGGCCCUCGAAGUCUUUAAACGGUAACGGUUCUGAUAGAGAUUAAAACCUCUAUAUUAUUUCGGUUACCGUCGACAAGAGGCCGCGACGGGUUGGUCGAGGGUCGGAAGGACGGUCAGGGGACAGUAUAAUCUCUCGCCACCCAGUGGCGCGGGGUUUACCCUGGCGGUAUAGCCGAUCUUCGUUGCCGACCCGGUAAGAGAGAGACCCUCGAACGGCGCGCUUCCGUGCAAACAUCUCCGCGGAGAUGGGAGCCGCAGAGGUCUGCGGUCAGUAGAUCGGGUCCCACCCGACCCGUCUUG
rnacentral:rRNA from 1 species